GAAUGAAAACUGUGCGUUGUCCAUUAUGGCUCCUUCGUCUUAUUUACUUUCCAUGACGCCGUGGAAUUCAUUUCUAUAAACUCGCAUUUUCUGCAAAUGGCCUCAAAAGCCAAACCACUCAGAGAGAGGCACAUUGUUCCCUUACCAAAUUAAAACAAGGCAGCAACUUGCCUGUGCUUGGGAAUUUGUGAAGCAGGGAGAAGAAAAAGAAAAUGGCUGCUUUCCAUCUAGAGUGACAGUGCUGAGAAGUUGUGACAGAUGCCAUCUGGCCGGCAGUGUCUGAAGAUUUCCCAUCUGUUUCUGGAUAGCGAAAGUUUGCCAACCUUGUUUUCUCUGUACCCGGUUCGCAGGUCACCGCUGGCUCAUGACAUGGUGUGGCCCACAUUUGAGGGAGCUGAGGGCAGAAAUGAGCACAAGGAAUUAAUUAUCACCUUUGAUCACCAACCCAUCCUAGCAAGAAAGGUACAUCAGCCAGCAAUAUCCAGGCUGCCAUUGUUCCUGUUCCCUGACCUCAAAGAGUCCCUUGUUCAACUAUUAAAAGUGUGUUUCUAAACUCUAAA